GGAAAUCUUCCCAGUGAAGAGGUGUCCCAUUCCGUGAACAGACGCAUCACCUGCACAACAUGGCCUGGGGGUUACAAAUCUUUCUAACAAUUGCAAUGCUUAGAGGCAUCCAGAUGCAAGUUCAGCUGGUGGAAUCAGGAGGAGAGAUCAAGAGACCUGGAGAAUCGCUGCGCCUUUCCUGUAAAGGCUCCGGGUACGAUUUUGGAAACUUUCAGAUGUGCUGGAUCCGACAGGCUCCCCAGAAAGGGCUGGAGUGGAUUGCCUUCAUCGAUGUCACUACUAUACGCUAUGCAAACUCAGUAGAGGGCCGAUUCACCAUCUCCAGGGACAAUUCCAUCAGCACGGUCUACUUGCAAAUGAGCAGUCUGAGAGAGGAAGACACGGCCCUCUACUAUCUGUGCCAGAUGUACACAGUGAGGGGAAAGCUAUCCAUGGAUUGA